CGUAUUGUUAAACGAUAUAAGAGAUGGGUGUGGAACUAAAAUAAUGGUUUUGUAGAAUUUCCAUGUGAAAUUCUCUUUGCUGGGGCCCCAACCCCAGCCUGCUUUGCUUGUGGAAUUUCCAUGUGAAAUUCUCUUUGCUGGGGCCCCUGAAUUAAAACGCUUGUAACAAGUACGCUUUUAUUUCUGACAACUAUUGGCAAUAUAUAAUUAGAGCCUGGGACAUUGAUUUAU
rnacentral:ncRNA from 1 species